UAAUUUGAUUUGGUUUUUAAGAAAAAUCUUCUAGUUUUUUUAUACAAUUUUUAUAAAAAUUUUUGUAGAAAAUUUAUUUUAUUUAAUAAUAAAAAAUUAUUAAGAAUUAGAAAAAUAAUCUAGCUAAAUUUGUGCCAGCAGCAGCGGUUAAACAAAUAGAACAAUUCUUAUUCUAAUAGAAUUUAAAAAAUGUGGUAAAAUUUUGUUAAAAAUUAAGGUGAAAUUUAUUUUUAAAAUUAAUU
rnacentral:rRNA from 1 species